GACGAACGCUGGCGGCGCGCCUAACACAUGCAAGUCGAACGAGCGAGAGAGAGCUUGCUUUCUCGAGCGAGUGGCGAACGGGUGAGUAACGCGUGAGGAACCUGCCUCAAAGAGGGGGACAACAGUUGGAAACGACUGCUAAUACCGCAUAAGCCCACGGCUCGGCAUCGAGCAGAGGGAAAAGGAGCAAUCCGCUUUGAGAUGGCCUCGCGUCCGAUUAGCUGGUUGGUGAGGUAACGGCCCACCAAGGCGACGAUCGGUAGCCGGACUGAGAGGUUGAACGGCCACAUUGGGACUGAGACACGGCCCAGACUCCUACGGGAGGCAGCAGUGGGGAAUAUUGCACAAUGGGGGAAACCCUGAUGCAGCGACGCCGCGUGGAGGAAGAAGGUCUUCGGAUUGUAAACUCCUGUUGUUGGGGAAGAUAAUGACGGUACCCAACAAGGAAGUGACGGCUAACUACGUGCCAGCAGCCGCGGUAAAACGUAGGUCACAAGCGUUGUCCGGAAUUACUGGGUGUAAAGGGAGCGCAGGCGGGAAGACGAGUUGGAAGUGAAAUCUAUGGGCUCAACCCAUAAACUGCUUUCAAAACUGUUUUUCUUGAGUAGUGCAGAGGUAGGCGGAAUUCCCGGUGUAGCGGUGGAAUGCGUAGAUAUCGGGAGGAACACCAGUGGCGAAGGCGGCCUACUGGGCACCAACUGACGCUGAGGCUCGAAAGUGUGGGUAGCAAACAGGAUUAGAUACCCUGGUAGUCCACACCGUAAACGAUGAUUACUAGGUGUUGGAGGAUUGACCCCUUCAGUGCCGCAGUUAACACAAUAAGUAAUCCACCUGGGGAGUACGACCGCAAGGUUGAAACUCAAAGGAAUUGACGGGGGCCCGCACAAGCAGUGGAGUAUGUGGUUUAAUUAGACGCAACGCGAAGAACCUUACCAAGUCUUGACAUCCUGCGACGGUGCUGGAAACAGUACUUUCCUUCGGGACGCAGAGACAGGUGGUGCAUGGUUGUCGUCAGCUCGUGUCGUGAGAUGUUGGGUUAAGUCCCGCAACGAGCGCAACCCUUAUGGUCAGUUACUACGCAAGAGGACUCUGGCCAGACUGCCGUUGACAAAACGGAGGAAGGUGGGGAUGACGUCAAAUCAUCAUGCCCUUUAUGACUUGGGCUACACACGUACUACAAUGGCGUUAAACAAAGAGAAGCAAGACCGCGAGGUGGAGCAAAACUCAGAAACAACGUCCCAGUUCGGACUGCAGGCUGCAACUCGCCUGCACGAAGUCGGAAUUGCUAGUAAUCGUGGAUCAGCAUGCCACGGUGAAUACGUUCCCGGGCCU
rnacentral:rRNA from 1 species